UACGGAGGGGACGAGCGUUGUCCGAAGUUACUGGGCGUAAAGCGCGCGUAGGCGGGUUGGCAAGUCUGCUGUGAAAGCCCGGGGCUUAACCCCGGAGGGUCGGUGGAUACUGCCAGUCUUGAAGGUGCUAGGGGGAGAUGGAAUUACCGGUGUAGCGGUGAAAUGCGUAGAUAUCGGAAGGAACACCAGUGGCGAAAGCGGCUUCCUGGUCCAGCACCGACGUUCAGGCACGAAAGCGUGGGGAGCAAACAGG
rnacentral:rRNA from 1 species